GUUAAUGUAGCUUAAUUAUUCAAAGCAAGACACUGAAAAUGUCUAGAUGGGUUUACACAAUUCCAUAAACG
rfam:Homo sapiens chromosome 14, GRCh38 reference primary assembly.